rnacentral:rRNA from 1 species
GUGGGGAAUAUUGGACAAUGGGCGCAAGCCUGAUCCAGCAAUGCCGCGUGGGUGAAGAAGGUCUUCGGAUCGUAAAGCCCUUUCGACAGGGACGAUGAUGACGGUACCUGUAGAAGAAGCCCCGGCUAACUUCGUGCCAGCAGCCGCGGUAAUACGAAGGGGGCUAGCGUUACUCGGAAUUACUGGGCGUAAAGGGCGCGUAGGCGGCUCUGUUAGUCAGGCGUGAAAUUCCUGGGCUUAACCUGGGGACUGCGCUUGAUACUGCAGGGCUUGAGGCCGAGAGAGGGUGGUGGAAUUCCCAGUGUAGAGGUGAAAUUCGUAGAUAUUCGGAGGAACACCAGUGGCGAAGGCGGCUCACUGGUCCAUUACUGACGCUGAGGUGCGAAAGCGUGGGGAGCAAACAGGAUUAGAAACCCUAGUAGUCC